CAAAAAGUAGCUUAAAACAAAGCAUUCAACUUACAAUUGAAACAUACUAAAACAAACUAGUCUUUUUGC
rnacentral:tRNA from 1 species